AGCUAGCUAGUAUUACAAGUCUGUUCUUUCUUACCUAAUUCCAGCACAUUCACUUCACUUUCUUAGGAAAUCAUUCUAAAAACUAAAGUUACUAUCCAAUUUCAUGCCUUCCUCUGUUGACCAGUACUUUUCAUGUCUUAUCCAUUAGAAACCUGGAGCACCACAAACUCAGCAGAGCUAACUGACUGCUACAUGCUGGGGCUAAGCACUGUCACCACAGUUAAAGGAUACACUGCUCAAUUUCUGGAGAACUGCAGAGGAUCUCCUGCUACAACACUAUGCACAGCCACAACAACUCAACUUUGUGUUUUGUUUGUAUAAUGACUGCUGCACAUGGCCAAGGUCAGUUUUUGGACAUGAUCAAAUAACAGAUCCCUAGGACUACAGUUUACAGCCCAUCUAACUGAUACUUUUUUUUUUUCUGAUGGGUACAAACGGAAUGAGACCUAGUUUUACUAUUCAGAUAUCUUUGUUUAGAAAGAGUAAUGUUAUGUCUGGAAAUUUAACAAAAAUAAAGCCUUUUUUUGUUGUUGUUGUUGUUGAACCAUA